UAGAAGAUUAACUUCGUUUUAUUCUCUCUUUUUUUUUUUGUGCUGAGAAGUGGGAACUCUUUCAUGUAAAAUGAUAAGGCAUGUCGUGAAUUGGUUGAAAGCUAUGUGUUUCUUUGUUAUGUCUCACAUUCCUCAUAACAAAAUAAUAGACUAAUCUAUAGAUUGUUUAUAAAUUUCUGAAUAUUAAUAUUUUGUAUUACUAUAAUAAAAAUAAAUUUACAUAAAUGUAAUUCUAUAACUUUAAGGAAAAUAAAAACUAUUUUCACAUUAGAGAUCACACAGUAUAAUAUAAAACUAGGUGUUUUGCCCGCACAUGUGAGCAUAAUUUUCUUAUCAAUAAUUAUUAGUUUAUAUCUUAUUAAUCUAAAACCAGCAUGAUAAGUUAUUAUAUAUGUUUUCAGAUAGUUAAAUCAAACAUCAAAGUAUAUAUAUAUGUCAAAUAUUUUAUCAAAAUAU
rnacentral:lncRNA from 1 species